rnacentral:rRNA from 1 species
UACGUAGGGUGCGAGCGUUAAUCGGAAUUACUGGCGUAAAGCGUGCGCAGGCUUGUUCUGUAAGUCAGAGUGUGAAAAUCCCCGAGCCUCAAACUCGGAAACUGCAUUGGAAACUACUUUGCUUGAGGGUCGGAGGGGGGACUGGGAAUUCUCGGUGUAGCAGUGAAAUGCGUAGAUAUCGAGAGGAACACCAGUGGCGAAGGCGAGUCCCUGGACGACUCCUGACACUGAGGCACGAAAGCUAGGGGAGCGAAACAGG